CCCCUCUCAGGGUCACACCUGGAGAGUUUCAAGUACUCUACCAGUCUCGACCACAGGAGGGAGAGUCAAGCAGAGGCAUAUGCAUUCCAUUCCUAGCUUGGGCAGUGGCUAGUGAGUGGAAGGCAAUCUGCUACAAGU
rfam:Ornithorhynchus anatinus chromosome 10, whole genome shotgun sequence.